rnacentral:rRNA from 1 species
CAACCGGAACUGUUUGGAAAGACAGGCCAUAGUGGGUGACAGCCCCGUACGGGUAAUUCAAUCAUCAGUCCUCGAGUAGGGCGGGACACGUGAAAUCCUGUCUGAACGUGGGGGGACCACCCUCCAAGCCUAAGUACUCCUUGACGACCGAUAGUGAACCAGUACCGUGAGGGAAAGGUGAAAAGUACCCUGAAUAAGGGGGUGAAAUAGUACCUGAAACCGUGCGCUUACAAGCGGUCGGAGCCCUUUAGUGGGGUGACGGCGUGCCUUUUGCAUAAUGAGCCUACGAGUUGUCGUUGUUGGCAAGGUUAAGGAUUUAAGGUCCGGAGCCGAAGCGAAAGCGAGUCUUAACAGGGCGAUCAGUCAGCAGUACUAGACGCGAAACUUGGUGAUCUACCCAUGGGCAGGGUGAAGCUCCGUUAAACCGGAGUGGAGGCCCGAACCAGUAAACGUUGAAAAGUUUUUGGAUGACCUGUGGGUAGGGGUGAAAGGCCAAUCAAACCGGGUAAUAGCUGGUUCUCCGCGAAAACUAUUUAGGUAGUGCGUCACGUAUUACCGCCGGGGGUAGAGCACUGGAUGGGCUAGGG